rnacentral:lncRNA from 1 species
AUGAGUAUGCAUUUCCCAAUUUGUUAAAACUCUGAUAGCAUCACUCCUAGUAAGCCGAAUAUUGCACAGAAAUGCACCAACGUAGAUGAAUUGAAUGGAGGAAUAAAACACACAGCAAAUUUCCUCCCAAACCCGAUAUCACAUACACCAAUCCAAUUCGAACUAAAAAAGCAAGUAAAACAGUUAUCAUAUUCAAAAUUGGCACAUAGAAGAACCAGACGCCAAUAACCAGAACCUUACCAAAACCAAAUUUCUUCUUCAAGAGGAAUU